ensembl:lncRNA
CUCAGUCAGGUUCUACCACUGAUAACCUUAGGACUCAGUACAGGCUUAAGGUGAAUCUCUAUUGUAUUAACCAUGACACCUCAGGAAACCAACAAUGAAGUGACCAAAUUAGGGACUACCUACUACACGGUGAUGGAGAGGGCCCUCUUAACACCCCGUGAAAAAUACAGCGAGCCUAUCACCGAUGGCAUGAACAUUGGAUGGCAUGUCAACAAGGAGAACACAGCAGAGGCUUCAGUUCAAAGGAAAUUUGGAAGGCGGGUCACUGAUGUUACCAGUUUUUCGAGCAAUUUUCCCAUGUGCCGCCAGCAUAGUCCUCCCCCAAGGAAGACCACCGCCGAUCACCCAUGCCCCGUCAUGGGGCGGGCCCCCAAAACCAGCACAGACUGGAGGACAGCAGACCCCAAAGCACCAGCCCCACCAGCUACCCAUUACAAUAUGAUGGAGAGGGCCCGCUUAACGCCCCAUGAAAAAUACACCCAGCCUAUCACCAUGAACAUGACAUAUGGAUGGCAUGUCACCAAUGAG